UUUUUUUUCUCCACGGCCUGAGGACGUGAUAGGAUUUCAUUCCCGCCCCACCUUGUGGUUGGAUGGAAUCAUGCGCCCAAUUGUGGUCAAGACCAAGAAACUGAGAAACAAAGCAAAUCCGUGGGAUGCAGAGGGUACGCUGAUGACUUCUGCUGGGGAGAGAAGCCCAAACACACGUCCUGGGCAGAGCCCAGAGACCUGGAGUGUGGCUGCCAGUGAGCACCCGGCUGAGGGACAAGCAGGUGGGCCUCAGUGGUGGCUGCCAGGUCCCUGGACGCCGGGGGCCACCGGCCUUGCCUCUCCUCUGCCUCGGAAGCACCGGAGGCUUUGGGGAUCUGGUGGUCCUCCGGCCCUGAACGUGGACCUGGUGUGACAAAGGGAAGUUUGCCAUCUCCAUCCUCCUCAAGCUGCCUAUGCACCCCAGUAGCACUCACCCUCUCUGUGCUCCCGUCUGCACCGCCUGUCCUGGGGUCCUUCUUUGUGCUGCACCCAAUGACAGGAACCAGUGCCCUGACUGUGACUUGCUUCCCCCCUCAGGGACACACAAGCACUUUCACAUCGAGGCUACUUUUCACCCCUUCUGCCUCCUGCAGGUACGCUGCAUGCAGAGGCAGGAGGACAGAGGGGCUGGUCUCAGGUGUGGCUUCUCUCACACCUGGCGC
rnacentral:lncRNA from 1 species